UACGUAGGGUGCGAGCGUUAUCCGGAUUUAUUGGGCGUAAAGGGUGCGCAGGCGGCCAUGGGCAGUGGCGCGUGGAAUCUCCCCGCUCACCGGGGAGGGGUCGCGCCAAACGACAUGGCUUGGGGCAGGCAGAGGAUCGCGGAACGGGCGGAGUAGGGGUGAAAUCCGGUAGAGACCGUCCGGAACACCAGUGGCGAAGGCGGCGAUCUGGGCCUGAAGAUGGAGAAAUCCAUUUGAACCCGACGCUCGGGCACGAAAGCGUGGGGAGCGAACGGA
rnacentral:rRNA from 1 species